AGAUUGAACGCUGGCGGCAGGCCUAACACAUGCAAGUCGAGCGGAUGAAGAGAGCUUGCUCUCUGAUUCAGCGGCGGACGGGUGAGUAAUGCCUAGGAAUCUGCCUGGUAGUGGGGGACAACGUUUCGAAAGGAACGCUAAUACCGCAUACGUCCUACGGGAGAAAGCAGGGGACCUUCGGGCCUUGCGCUAUCAGAUGAGCCUAGGUCGGAUUAGCUAGUUGGUGAGGUGUUAUGGCUCACCGAAGGCGACGAUCCGUAACUGGUCUGAGAGGAUGAUCAGUCACACGUGGAACUGAGACACGGUCCAGACCUCCGUACGGGAGGCAGCGAGGUAGGGGAAUAGUUAGGACAAGUGGGGACGAAAGCCUAGACUCCAGCCAUCGCCGCGUGUGUAGAAGUAGGUUCUUCGAUUAGUAAG
rnacentral:rRNA from 1 species